GGGCUUGUAGCUCAACGGCAGAGCAGGGGACUCAUAAUCCCUUGGUUGUAGGUUCGAAUCCUACCGGGCCCA
rnacentral:tRNA from 1 species